rnacentral:rRNA from 1 species
UAAGGAGGAUGCGAGCGUUAUCCGGAUUUAUUGGGCUUAAAGGGAGCGUAGGCGGACUGUUAAGUCAGCGGUAAAAGCCCGGGGCUCAACCCCGGCGAGCCGUUGAAACUGGCUGUCUUGAGAUGUCGAGAGGUAUGCGGAAUGCGCAGUGUAGCGGUGAAAUGCUUAGAUAUUGCGCAGAACUCCGAUUGCGAAGGCAGCAUACCAAACUAUAUCUGACGUUGAGGCACGAAAGCGUGGGGAGCAAACAGG